AGAUUGAACGCUGGCGGCAGGCCUAACACAUGCAAGUCGAGCGGUAGAGGGGUGCUUGCAUCUCUUGAGAGCGGCGGACGGGUGAGUAAUGCCUAGGAAUCUGCCUAGUGGUGGGGGGAUAACGUUCGGAAACGGACGCUAAUACCGCAUACGUCCUACGGGAGAAAGCGGGGGACCUUCGGGCCUCGCGCCAUUAGAUGAGCCUAGGUCGGAUUAGCUAGUUGGUGAGGUAAUGGCUCACCAAGGCGACGAUCCGUAACUGGUCUGAGAGGAUGAUCAGUCACACUGGAACUGAGACACGGUCCAGACCUCCGUACGGGAGGCAGCAGGUGGGAAUAUUGGACAAUGGGACGAAAGCCUGACUCCAGCCAUCGCCGCGUGUGGUAGAAGGUAACGGUCUUCGGAUUAGUAAAGCUAACGUUUUAAGGUUGGGUAAGGUAAGGGUUAGUAAACCGUUAAGUUACCGUUAG
rnacentral:rRNA from 1 species